rnacentral:rRNA from 1 species
CGUCCGGAAUCGGGCGCUAAUACCGCAUAGGUCCUGAGGGAGAAUGUGGGGGAUCUUCGGACCUCGCGCUAUCAGAUGAGCCUAGGUCGGAUUACCUAGUUGGUGGGGUAAAGGCCUACCAAGGCGACGAUCCGUAACUGGUCUGAGAGGAUGAUCAGUCACACUGGAACUGAGACACGGUCCAGACUCCUACGGGAGGCAGCAGUGGGGAAUAUUGGACAAUGGGCGAAAGCCUGAUCCAGCCAUGCCGCGUGUGUGAAGAAGGUCUUCGGAUUGUAAAGCACUUUAAGUUGGGAGGAAGGGCAGUAAGUUAAUACCUUGCUGUUUUGACGUUACCAACAGAAUAAGCACCGGCUAACUUCGUGCCAGCAGCCGCGGUAAUACGAAGGGUGCAAGCGUUAAUCGGAAUUACUGGGCGUAAAGCGCGCGUAGGUGGUUCAGCAAGUUGGAUGUGAAAUCCCCGGGCUCAACCUGGGAACUGCAUCCAAAACUACUGANCUAGANUACGGUANAGGGUGGUGGAAUUUCCUGUGUAGCGGUGAAAUGCGUANAUNUANGAAGGAACACCAGUGGCGAANGCGACCACCUGGACUGAUACUGACACUGAGGUGCGAAAGCGUGNGGAGCAAACNNGAUUANAUACCCUGGUANUCCACGCCGUAAACGAUGUCNNCUANCCGUUGGGAUCCUUGAGAUCUUAGUGGCGCANUAACGCGAUAANUCNACCGCCUGGGGAGUACGGCCNCNNNGUUAANACUCNAAUGNAUUUGACGGGNNCCCNCACAAACGGUGGAGCAUGGUGNUUUNAUUCNAANCAACNCCNANANCUUACCUGGGNCNUGACAUGCU